GGGUCAGCGACUUAUAUUCUGUAGCAAGGUUAACCGAAUAGGGGAGCCGAAGGGAAACCGAGUCUUAACUGGGCGUUAAGUUGCAGGGUAUAGACCCGAAACCCGGUGAUCUAGCCAUGGGCAGGUUGAAGGUUGGGUAACACUAACUGGAGGACCGAACCGACUAAUGUUGAAAAAUUAGCGGAUGACUUGUGGCUGGGGGUGAAAGGCCAAUCAAACCGGGAGAUAGCUGGUUCUCCCCGAAAGCUAUUUAGGUAGCGCCUCGUGAAUUCAUCUCCGGGGGUAGAGCACUGUUUCGGCAAGGGGGUCAUCCCGACUUACCAACCCGAUGCAAACUGCGAAUACCGGAGAAUGUUAUCACGGGAGACACACGGCGGGUGCUAACGUCCGUCGUGAAGAGGGAAACAACCCAGACCGCC
rnacentral:rRNA from 2 species